CUACGGGCUGCUGCAGUGAGGAAUAUUGCACAAUGGGGGGAACCCUGAUGCAGCAACGCCGCGUGGAGGAUGACGCAUUUCGGUGUGUAAACUCCUUUUAUAUGUCAAGAAAAUGACGGUAGCAUAAGAAUAAGCACCGGCUAACUCCGUGCCAGCAGCCGCGGUAAUACGGAGGGUGCAAGCGUUACUCGGAAUCACUGGGCGUAAAGGACGCGUAGGCGGGUUGGAAAGUCAGGUGUGAAAUCCUACAGCUUAACUGUAGAACUGCACUUGAAACUUCUAAUCUAGAGUAUGGGAGGGGGAGAUGGAAUUAGUGGUGUAGGGGUAAAAUCCGUAGAUAUCACUAGGAAUACCUAAAGCGAAGGCGAUCUCCUGGAACAUUACUGACGCUAAGGCGUGAAAGCGUGGGGAGCAAACAGGAUUAGAUACCCUAGUAGUA
rnacentral:rRNA from 1 species